UCAAAAGGCAAUGUUUCACGUAAGGCCACUCUCCGCUCAAGCACUUGGCGUUCUGCGAUGAAUGCUGGGUUCCAGCAUAUGUUCUGAGUGGUUAUAUCACAGCAAAAUAAUCUGGAUGAUGGACGGUUGUGGUCAGAGCUAAGAAAUGUCCGAGAUGUCUUAAGGGUAGAAACUGAAGAACUACUUAGUAAUUUGCUGGUUAUUUGAUGCCUCAGAGUUUUAACAACCACGUGUUAACCACCGGGACAAUGAAUAACAACGUUAUCAGACUAAAUGGUUACAUCAAAACAUCCAAAGAAAGGGAAAUCCAUAACAGUGACGUCAGAUUGUUGUCGUCUACACAAUACCUGGAAAACUUGAUGUAGAACAUGUAUAUAUUGAAAAAAAUAAAAACUUGAAACAGAUAUAAAUAUUUC